rnacentral:SRP_RNA from 1 species
GCCGGGUAUGGUGGCUCAUGCCUGUAAUCCCAGUGCUUUGGGAGGCUGAGGCAGGUGGAUCACUUGAGGUCAGGAGUUUGAGACCAGCCUGACCAACAUGGUGAAACCCUGUCUCUA